GACGAACGCUGGCGGCGUGCUUAACACAUGCAAGUCGAACGGAAAGGCCCUGCUUUUGUGGGGUGCUCGAGUGGCGAACGGGUGAGUAACACGUGAGUAACCUGCCCUUGACUUUGGGAUAACUUCAGGAAACUGGGGCUAAUACCGGAUAGGAGCUCCUGCUGCAUGGUGGGGGUUGGAAAGUUUCGGCGGUUGGGGAUGGACUCGCGGCUUAUCAGCUUGUUGGUGGAGUAGUGGCUUACCAAGGCUUUGACGGGUAGCCGGCCUGAGAGGGUGACCGGCCACAUGGGGACUGAGAGACGGCCCAGAGUCCUACGGUGGGCAGCAGGGGGGAAUAUGGCACAAGGGGCGGAAGCCUGAGGCAGCAACGCCGCGUGCGGAAUGACGGCCUUCGGGUAGUAAACCGCUUUCGCCUGUGACGAAGGGUGAGUGACGGUAAUGGAUAAAGAAGCACCGGCUAACUACGUG
rnacentral:rRNA from 1 species